rnacentral:misc_RNA from 1 species
GAUGAAAGAACGUAGCAAAAUGCGAUAAGUAAUGUGAAUUGCAGAAUUCAGUGAAUCAUCGAAUCUUUGAACGCACAUUGCGCCCGCCAGUAUUCUGGCGGGCAUGCCUGUUCGAGCGUCAUUUCAACCCUCAAGCACAGCUUGGUGUUGGGACUCGCGUUAAUUCGCGUUCCUCAAAUUGAUUGGCGGUCACGUCGAGCUUCCAUAGCGUAGUAGUAAAACCCUCGUUACUGGUAAUCGUCGCGGCCACGCCGUUAAACCCCAACUUCUGAAUGUUGACCUCGGAUCAGGUAGGAAUACCCGCUGAACUUAAGCAUAUCAAUAAGCGGAGGA